CAGUAGCCGCGGGAAUACGAAGGGUGCAAGCGUUAAUCGGAAUUACUGGGCGUAAAGCGCGCGUAGGUGGUUUGGUAAGAUGGAUGUGAAAUCCCCGGGCUCAACCUGGGAACUGCAUUCAUAACUGCCUGACUAGAGUACGGUAGAGGGUGGUGGAAUUUCCUGUGUAGCGGUGAAAUGCGUAGAUAUAGGAAGGAACACCAGUGGCGAAGGCGACCACCUGGACUGAUACUGACACUGAGGUGCGAAAGCGUGGGGAGCAAACAGGAUUAGAUACCCGCGUAGUCCCUGUCUCUUAUAC
rnacentral:rRNA from 1 species